AUUAUUUCCUCAUCACUGGCACCUACAGGCACCUGGGUAUCAAGAAGACCCAUGGAUACUUUAGAAAGAAAUUCUACGCAGCUGGAGGAGCUAAGAAAAGAAAUCCUGCAAGGCAUCAGCAUGAAAUGCUGCACAGACAGCAACAGCAGGAAGGUAAAGCUUUGGAAAGCACACUGCUGGAAGAAUUAGAGGGAACUUCAGGUAUGAAGGACUCUGCAGGGAGCUCGCAGCCUAGCAGCCAGACAGAUCAGGUGCUACAUAUGGGACAGAAAUUAAAUAAUAACUCAAUUACAAAAAAAUCCCUGCUUGUCCCAGGACCCCUAGAGGUAGUUUCUGUGGGACAGUUGAAACACAAGUCACUCUGAAGCAGUUUUACUGAGGUCCACAGCAAGAAAGUUGCUUUAUUAUUCAUUUUCUUUCCCUGCAUUGCCAGCUCUGGGCCCCCGGAGCUGAGGACGGCUGCAGGGUAGGAGUGAGCUGAACAGCCCAGCAGAACAUGUCCUGCUCCUCUAGCCAUGGCCUUGAGGGCCUCAGCUGGCAGCUGGAGCACAUCCAGACUGGUGCUGAGCUGCCCAACCCCAUUUCCCAGCUGUGCUGGUGUUGGAGGCAGGAACUUUUAGGCAAAAGUUACCAAAAAUAUCAUCCUGCACGCAGUCCCUGAAGCAGAUGUGAGGAGUGGCCGAGUCAGUAGGAAAUCUCACUUCUUUGUGUGAUUUUAUGUCCUAUUUCUCAUCCCCAGCACUCCACAGAGUGAUGGAUAAGCAUUCAAAACAUGGAAAAACCUGAAACAGGGGAGCACUCCUAUCGCUAAUGAAGAUGCAUCAUCACUGGGCUUGGUUCAAAGACCAUUAAAACUUCCGAGUGGUUCCAGUGGGAAUGAGAACAACCCUUUUCCUGGAGAAAUAGAGUCAUAUAUUAAGCCUUAAUUGGGAAGAGUCUCCACAAGGAUUUUCCCUCUGAGGGGAAGGAGCUUUUGUGGAUAUAAUUGUUUUGGAGGGAGUAAUUAUUCCAUGGACAUUUCCCAGGGUGAAUGAUGGCUUUUUUGUCUAUUUUCCUGAGAGUAGAAGAGCUGUAGCUGUUUUUAUGGACCAAUGGCAUUACCUAGCAAACCAGGGACAGGCUGCUGUUUCAACAUAUAUGCACAGCAGUAGGAACAAGUUUUGUACGGUUUAGCUGAAUAUUUCUCUAUUAUUCUUUACCCUGGAGCACGACACAGUUUGCAGCAAUUGAUUGACUUAGCUGGACAGUGAGAUAAUAAAUUACAAAUAAGACCGGCUGGAAGCUGUUCC
rnacentral:lncRNA from 1 species